GGUAAAGUGGCCGAAUAAUAGGCGGUGGCUUGUAGCUCCACCCAUGAGGGCUAAACCCCUUCUUUAUC
rnacentral:tRNA from 1 species